rnacentral:rRNA from 1 species
UACGUAGGGACCGAGCGUUGUCCGGAAUCAUUGGGCGUAAAGAGCGUGUAGGCGGCCUUUUAAGUCCUGCGUGAAAUCCUGCGGCUCAACCGCAGACGGUCGUGGGAAACUGGAAGGCUAGAGUGCGGGAGAGGAGAGUGGAAUUCCCGGUGUAGCGGUGAAAUGCGCAGAUAUCGGGAAGAACACCCGUGGCGAAGGCGGGUCUCUGGGCCGAUACUGACGCUGAGGAGCGAAAGCGUGGGGAGCGAACAGG